UACGAAGGGGGCUAGCGUUGUCCGGGUUUAUUGGGUUUAAAGGGUGCGUAGGCGGUCUUUUAAGUCAGUGCUGAAAUACUCCAGCUUAACUGGAGGGGUGGCAUUGAUACUGGGAGACUUGAGUAUAGUUGAGGUAGGCGGAAUUGACGGUGUAGCGGUGAAAUGCUUAGAUAUCGUCAAGAACACCGAUAGUGAAGACAGCUUACUAAACUAUAACUGACUCUGAGGCACGAAAGUGUGGGGAUCAAACAGG
rnacentral:rRNA from 1 species